AUUGAACGAUGGCGGCAGGCCUAACACAUGCAAGUCGAACGAGGGGCGGACGGGUGAGUAAUGUCUGGGAAACUGCCUGAUGGAGGGGGAUAACUAGUGGAAACGGUAGCUAAUAACGCAGAACAGAAGAUGUGCAUAGAUGGGAUUAGAUAGUUGGUGGGGUAACAGCUCACCAAGGCGACGAUCCCUAGCUGGUCUGAGAGGAUGACCAGCCACCCGUGAACUGAGGCACGGGCCAGGCUCCUACGGGAGGCAGCAGUUGGGAAUAUUGCACCAUGGGAGCAAGCCUGAUGCAGCCAUGCCGCGUGGAUGAAGAAGGCCUUCGGGUUGUAAAGUACUUUCAGUGGGUAGGCGUUGCCCGCAGAAGAAGCACCGGCUGACUCCGUGCCAGCAGCCGCGGUAAUUC
rnacentral:rRNA from 1 species